AUUGAACGCUGGCGGCAGGCCUAACACAUGCAAGUCGAACGAGUGGCGGACGGGUGAGUAAUGUCUGGGAAACUGCCUGAUGGAGGGGGAUAACUACUGGAAACGGUAGCUAAUACCGCAUACCAUCGGAUGUGCCCAGAUGGGAUUAGCUAGUAGGUGGGGUAAAGGCUCACCUAGGCGACGAUCCCUAGCUGGUCUGAGAGGAUGACCAGCUACACUGGAACCGAGACACGGUCCAGACGCCUACGGGAGGCAGCAGUGGGGAGUAUUGCUCAAUGGGCUCAAGCCUGAUACAGCCAUGCCACGUGUAUGAAGAGAGCCUUCGGGUUAUAAAGUACUUUCAGCGGGGAGGCGUUACCCGCAGAAAAAGCACCGGCUAACUCCGUGCGAGCGGCCGCGGGAAUAC
rnacentral:rRNA from 1 species